rnacentral:rRNA from 1 species
AGAGUUUGAUCCUGGCUCAGAUUGAACGCUGGCGGCAUGCCUUUCACAUGCAAGUCGAACGGCAGCACGGGAGCAAUCCUGGUGGCGAGUGGCGAACGGGUGAGUAAUAUAUCGGAACGUGCCCAGUCGUGGGGGAUAACGUAGAGAAAUUUACGCUAAUACCGCAUACGAUCUAAGGAUGAAAGCGGGGGAUCGCAAGACCUCGCGCGAUUGGAGCGGCUGAUAUCAGAUUAGGUUGUUGGUGAGGUAAAAGCUCACCAAGCCGACGAUCUGUAGCUGGUUUGAGAGAACGACCAGCCACACUGGGACUGAGACACGGCCCAGACUCCUACGGGAGGCAGCAGUGGGGAAUUUUGGACAAUGGGCGAAAGCCUGAUCCAGCAAUGCCGCGUGCAGGAAGAAGGCCUUCGGGUUGUAAACUGCUUUUGUACGGAACGAAACGGUCUGCCCUAAUACGGUGGGCUAAUGACGGUACCGUAAGAAUAAGCACCGGCUAACUACGUGCCAGCAGCCGGG